ACACACCUGGUUCACUUGGACUCAUGCACCUGUUGUCAAUCACCACGUCACCUUUUAAGCCUGUAGUUGCCAGGCGACAUCACCCUCUAGACACCCUUGUUAUUCAUGCUGAUGAUCCGUGCUGCGCUUUUUCAUGCUCUUUUCUUGUUCCAACUCAGAUGGUACCUGCCCCCUCAAGCCAUCUGAGCAUUGCAGACAUCUUGGGUAUGUGCACACUGGAGGGGCUGUGACGCUGUGUUCCAAUUAUCUGGCAUAAAGAGAACUACAACGGCGUCAAUCACGCCACAUCUUUAGAAAGAGUGCUGCGGUGAACACAUAAGAGCCAUUUCUGACCAAACACACUUAAAUGAGGUUCGCGGAGGUGCUGGAGCCUAUCCCAGCUGCACACGGGCGGAAGGUGGCGUACACCCUGGACAUGAUGCCACCUCACCGCAGGGCCAACACAGACAACAUUCACACUCACAUUCACACACUCGGGACCAUUUAGUGUUGCCAAUCAAUCUAUCCCCAGGUGCGUGUUUUUGGAGGUGGGGGGAAGCUGGAGUACCCGGAGGGAACCCACGCAGUCACGGGGAGAAAGAUCCCGAGCCCGGGAUUGAACUCAGGACCUUCGUAUCGUGAGGCACAUGCACUAACCCCUGUUUCACCGUGAUGGAUAACUUAAGCGUUAUCCGUCCAUCCAUCCAUUUUCUACCGCUUGUCGCGUUCGGGGUCGCUGGAGGCUAUCUCAGCUGCAUUCGGGUGGAAGGCGGGGUACAUUUAAAAAAAAUUAUUUAAUAGGGCUGUGAAUUUUUGGACAACACGCUAUUCGACUCGAUUCUUGAGGGUAAUUGAUUCUCGAUUCAAAACACAAAACAAGUCAAAACACCACAGCAUUAACCAGAGGGGACUGCAACGUAUAAAGGUGCAUGACCAAAGUUGGCUAAAUGGUGGGGUCUAUCAAAGGCAAAAAGUCAUGGAACAGAAAUUGUGACAAAUAUUUGAUUUGAUUUAAAACUGCUCUGAAACAGUGGUUUAAAACUAAUCAGACAUGCACACACAAUUAGAUUAAUCACUUGUUUGUUGUUUGUUUUAUUUUUUUUGUCCAGGGUCUGUGCUUUUGGUAUGCUUGUAAUGUGUAAUGUCUUUUGUGAAGUGUGAAGAGAAGUGAAGUGAAUUAUAUUUAUAUAGCGCUUUUCUAUAGUGACUCAAAGCGCUUUACAUAGUGAAACCCAAUAUCUAAGUUACAUUUAAAACAGUGUGGGUGGCACUGGGAGCAGGUGGGUAAAGUGUCUUGCCCAAGGACACAACGGCAGUAACUAGGAUGGCACAAGCGGGAAUCGAACCUGCAACCCUCAAGUUGUUGGCACGGCCACUCUACCAACCGAGCUAUGCCGGUUGGUGAUUGAUGUAUUCUUUUGUAUCUUGACCUAUUGAAUGUUUACUGUAUUAACCUGC